GGGUCAAGUUGCGUCCACUAUAGAUCUAAUUUGUAAACUGUCGUGGAACCUGUGUUCGGCUCGCACAUUUCCUAUUCAACAGGAAUGCAUGAUGGAGACCAACAGUACAGAAAGAUGAAGAUGUAAAUUGAUCCAAAUAAACAAUGGGACAAUGAAUGCUAUAAUUACCAAGAAGAAGACUGCAUUUUUAUACAGUUAAAGUAUGAUAUGGGAAAUAAAUACCCUCAAUGCAGCCUUAUGGAGCUUUGGCUAGACCAUGAACAGUAGACAUCAAAAAGGUACAAGAUAGUUGCUGCUUUUAUUAAAUUCUUUCAUGUAUAUACUAAUUAUCAGUUCAUAUGAAACUUGGUACACAACAUCAGCAUGAAGUGGACAGGGCUAUCAAAUUUGAUUAUUUUGUUCCUUCAGUUAAUAUGCCAUUUCUUUAUUUUUAAAUUAUCACAUCACAGCUUCCUUGAUACCUUGUGUAUUAAAACUCCUGCAAAUUCAAUC